rnacentral:lncRNA from 1 species
UCUUCAAAAAUACAAUCAGAGACAGCACACCGAGAUCAGCUCACCACUUCUCUCAGGCAAGCUUUUUCUGCUUUCAUUUUCAAUACUCAAUUUGUGUAUUAUGUGUUUUACUCGAGUUUGUCGAUUGUUUGUAUCUGCUUCUUCGUGUUUUUUGCUGAUUUUGUAUAUCUGUGCUAGCUAUCGCCGAUUGUUUUAUUGAAGCUCUGCUUUGGUGCAUUCUAAUUGAAGCUCUACUUUCGAAUUGAAGCUCAGUCUCACAGUAGCCAUUCUAAUUUGUAAGUUUCUCAAUCUCCUUCCUUGACUGCUUUCGAUGAUUUUGAUGAAAUUGUUUGAUUCUAGUUUUUGAGUUUGAAUUUCUGGCUAAUUAAGCAAACUUGACUGCAAUUGUAUAUGAAACUUUCAAUCUAAAUUUUGAAUAGGGAUUUCUCUUAGGUUGCCCUCUUCUUUUGUUCUGCUGCAAUUGUAUAUGAAUUUCUUGUUGAUUUAUAGUUCUACAUAAUUAAUGCUAGAAAUUAUACAAUUUCUUUACUUUUAGCUUGUUAGUUUUGAAAUGGACAAGAGUUGGAUUAAUGCACCGAGGGUUAGUGAUGUUUAUAAGAGUGGAUGUGAGUCAUUCAUACAAUUUGACAUGGAAGCUCAAGAAACUAUACUUUGCCCCUGCUUGAAAUCUUGUAAUGGCAAAAGGUUUUCAACUGAAAAAGUUCUUCAUCACAUAUUAUUCAAUGGUUUUUGUCCUUACACAUUUCCUUUUCAAAUAAAAAUGUUGUUGAUUAUUCCUUGAGUUGGAUCCAACUUACUGUCUCUUCUUGGAACCCAGUAACAUGAAUCUCCUUUUUGUAUUUGACUUGUUGUCUUUCUGGAAAAUCUUGUCUAAUCAUGUAUACAGGUCACAUAGAAGAUUACUAGAGCUGCACGCUCCUAAGUUGUUUUGUGGAUUGCUAUUCCGAUUGAGGUGUUUGAGCUGCACACGAGAUACUUGUGAAAUUAGGUAGGCAUGUUUUAACACAAACUGUUUAUCGUUUUACAUUGGUAGUGAAUGAAAAGUGGAAAUGAUUCCCCAUCUCCUGAUGCACUAGUUUGAAUAAUAUAUCUAGUCC